rnacentral:piRNA from 1 species
UCACUGCCAUUGGAUAUCUAAUUUCUUC